rnacentral:rRNA from 1 species
AUGUGUUGUGUGGAAUCAGUCACUUUUUCCGUCAGAGUUAAUGGGAAUUUUUCACAAACCUUCAAACCUACAAAAGGCAUCAGACAAGGUGAUCCAAUUUCACCAUAUCUUUUUCUCAUCUGUGCUGAAGGAUUCUCAUGUUUGCUGAAAAUCUAUGGGGCUAAUUACCUAUCUAGAGGAGUAAGAGUUGGAAUUCACUGUCCUUGGACUUCUCACUUGCUAUUUGCAGUUGAUUGUGUGAUAUUUACUCAAGCUAGUGCAGAGGGAGCCAACAUGAUCCAAGAGGUUUCGGAGAGAUAUCGUGCAGGAUCUGGUCAAAUGGUUAACAAACAAAAAUCCGCAAUAUUUUUUAGCACCAAUACUGGAGAUGUUGUGAAAGCGGUAGUUUGUCAAGGACUAGACAUACCCACCGAAGCAUUGGGAGAGAGAUACCUGGGGAUUCCUACAGCUCUGGAGCAUUCUACAGAUCAGCAUUUUGAUCAUAUUCUUGCUACAAUAAAGAAGCUUGUUGCAAGUUGGACCCCAAAACUACUCAAUAGUGCGAGAAGGGAGAUGUUCAUCAAGGCAAUAUGUCAAGCAAUUCAACAUAUUCGAUGA